CGAAAACGAGAUGCGGAGUCUGUUACUGCUGCUAUAAGGGAACUAAAAUGGAUAGCGGCAGUGUGCCAGAAGAUAUUCAGCUACAGGCACAUGCAGUGACCUCGACCUACCUAUACCUAGCUACAUAGCACCAAAUUUCAAGGGACCGCAGACGUUCGGAUACAAUUAGCGUCUCUUUGUAAAGACAACGAAGUCGACUUUACUACGUAACAGGACAUUUACUCAACAUGUAGCAUUCAAAAGAUAUUUUAUGUAGUUAUCCUGUUGGAUAACGAGGACAAAAAAGGGAAGACAAAUGGGAUGGCAUUAUGCUACAUAUCUUUAGUAACGAUGGCCGUUAGCUCAGAAUUGGAAGACAUGUGGGAUAGAUUCUUGUUGCCUUUUUAUCAGCACAUAAAAUAAGCGAUAGUUGAUAAUAAAUCAAAAACAGGUAUCUAGGAUAUUGU
rnacentral:lncRNA from 1 species